rnacentral:rRNA from 1 species
GUAGCUUGCUACUUUGCCGGCGAGCGGCGGACGGGUGAGUAAUGUCUGGGAAACUGCCCGAUGGAGGGGGAUAACUACUGGAAACGGUGCUAAUACCGCAUAACGUCUUCGGACCAAAGUGGGGGACCUUCGGGCCUCACACCAUCGGAUGUGCCCAGAUGGGAUUAGCUAGUAGGUGGGGUAACGGCUCACCUAGGCGACGAUCCCUAGCUGGUCUGAGAGGAUGACCAGCCACACUGGAACUGAGACACGGUCCAGACUCCUACGGGAGGCAGCAGUGGGGAAUAUUGCACAAUGGGCGCAAGCCUGAUGCAGCCAUGCCGCGUGUGUGAAGAAGGCCUUCGGGUUGUAAAGCACUUUCAGCGAGGAGGAAGGCAGUCGUGUUAAUAGCACGGUUGAUUGACGUUACUCGCAGAAGAAGCACCGGCUAACUCCGUGCCAGCAGCCGCGGUAAUACGGAGGGUGCAAGCGUUAAUCGGAAUUACUGGGCGUAAAGCGCACGCAGGCGGUUUGUUAAGUCAGAUGUGAAAUCCCCGCGCUUAACGUGGGAACUGCA